CCUACGGGUGGCAGCAGUAGGGAAUCUUUCACAGUGGGCGAAAGCCUGAUGGAGCAACGCCGCGUGCAGGAUGAAGGCCUUCGGGUUGUAAACUGCUUUUAUAAGCGAGAAAUAUGAUGGUAACUUAUGAAUAAGGAUCGGCUAACUACGUGCCAGCAGCCGCGGUCAUACGUAGGAUCCGAGCAUUAUCCGGAGUGACUGGGCGUAAAGAGUUGCGUAGGUGGCAUAAUAAGUAGCUAGUGAAAACUGGUGGCUCAACCAUUCAGACUAUUAGCUAAACUGUUAAGCUCGAGACCGUUAGGGGUAACUGGAAUUUCUAGUGUAGGAGUGAAAUCCGUAGAUAUUAGAAGGAACACCAAUAGCGUAGGCAGGUUGCUGGGACGGUUCUGACACUAAGGCACGAAAGCGUAGGGAGCAAACGGGAUUAGAUACCCCUGUAGUC
rnacentral:rRNA from 1 species